rnacentral:lncRNA from 10 species
AUGGCCCUGUCCACCACUCCCUCCAACCCCAAGCACAGGGUGGGCACUCAAGCAUCUGCUGAACAAAUGUAUGCAUCUGAAGAGCAGAGACAUAGUGUACGAAGACGCAGUCAAGUCAGUACGUGAUUUUGUUUUAAUAACGCAAAGGCAGUAGAAGCAUUUCACAGAGUUCAUUCAACAGGUCUAUUGAAGAAGCUGGAUUUGAAGACUACGUUUCUGUUUGGGUUCGCUGCCUCUUUUCCAGCAAGCAUGGGAGGACCAAGUAGGUGUCACCACCAUUCUGUGCUCUGGGGUUACAGUCACAAACAUGACAAAAUGCUCUCAUGAAGCUUAUAUUCUGGAGAUAAUGGAUGAGGUUGGGGCUGGAGGUAUAAAUUUGAAGACCAGCAUGUGUAGAUGGCAUUUAAAACCACAGAACUGGGGCGAGGCCUGGUGGCUCAUGCCUGUAAUCCUAGCACUUUGGGAGGCCAAGGUGGGAGGAUCACUUGAGCCCAGGAGUUUGAGACCAGCAUGGCCAACAUAGUGAGGCCUCAGCCUCAACAAAAGAUUUUAAAAAUUAGCUGAACAUGGUGGUGCACCCCUGUGGUCCCAGCUACUGGGGAGGCUGAGGUGGGAGGGUUGCUUGAGCCUGGGAGGUAAAGGCUGCAGUGAGCUAUGAUCACACCACUACACUCGAGCCUGGGCGACAGAGCAAGACCCUGUCAGAGAGAAAGGGGAGGGGAGGGGAGGAAGGAAGGAAGGAGAGAGAGAGAAAGAAAGAAAAAAGAAAAAACCACAUAACUGAGUAUAAAGAAAAAAGUGGGAACUUUGGAGCACACCCACAUUUAUAGGUUGGGAAGAGGAAAAGGGUCUAGCAAAAGGGACUGAGAAGGAGUCUGCCAUGAAGUGAGGGGGGACUCAGAAGAGUCUGGGUUUCUGGUGGACACUGAAGAAAGUUUUCAGCCUUCUGCCGUCAGCCUCUCUUGGAACUGCUCUGAGCCUAGGGAGCUACCUCACUUGAAGGCUCUCCUAGAAGCCGCCAGCCAAUGACGAGUUGCUAUGAGGUGUAAAGACCCCACCCCCUUGCCUUACUUUGGAACACCUCUGCAGGGCCAUCUCAGUUCCAGAGCUUCCAUUAGGUCAGGCUGAGGCCUCUGUUGAGACUACAUCAGCAGUUCAGCUUCUUCUUCCGCCCAACCCGUCAUUCCCCUACUGGUGAUAUUCGCAAGAGCACUCCGAUAAACCUACACUCAAAUCUUGCUAUCGGAGUCUGUUUCGGGGGACCCGACCUAAAACAACCAUUGUAGCCCCAGCCCAGAGCCGUGCACAUAG